rnacentral:rRNA from 1 species
AUUGAACGCUGGCGGAAUGCUUUACACAUGCAAGUCGAGCGGCAGCGCGGGGCAACCUGGCGGCGAGCGGCGAACGGGUGAGUAAUGCAUCGGAACAUGUCCAUGUCGUGGGGGAUAGCCCGGCGAAAGCCGGAUUAAUACCGCAUACGCCCGAGAGGGGAAAGUGGGGGACCGCAAGGCCUCACGCGAUUGGGUUGGCCGAUGUCCGAUUAGCUAGUUGGCGGGGUAAGAGCCCACCAAGGCGAUGAUCGGUAGCUGGUCUGAGAGGAUGAUCAGCCACACUGGGACUGAGACACGGCCCAGACUCCUACGGGAGGCAGCAGUGGGGAAUUUUGGACAAGUGGGGGCAACCCUGAUCCAGCCAUUCCGCGUGAGU